UACGAAGGGGGCUAGCGUUGCUCGGAAUUACUGGGCGUAAAGCGCACGUAGGCGGCUCUUUAAGUCGGGGGUGAAAUCCUGGAGCUCAACUCCAGAACUGCCUUCGAUACUGAAGAGCUCGAGUCCGGGAGAGGUGAGUGGAACUGCGAGUGUAGAGGUGAAAUUCGUAGAUAUUCGCAAGAACACCAGUGGCGAAGGCGG
rnacentral:rRNA from 1 species